rfam:Orchesella cincta Ocin01_Sc0174, whole genome shotgun sequence.
CCAACGGCCCUUUUAAGGGCCACCACUCUAUACGAAGAGCUCUUA